GUCAGGCUCCCUGCAUGGAACCUGCUUCUCCCUCUGCCUGUGUCUCUGCCUCUCGCUCUCUGUGUGUCUCUCAUGAAUGAAUAAAUAGAAUCUUUUAAAAAAGAAAAAAAGAAAAAGACAAAUGAUGACACCUUUUACAUUUGCACGGAAUAGGUUUUCUCUUGUGUGAUUUAACAAAUGGAAGAGUUCUACAGCCUGGUUUGCCUGCCUCACCUCCUGGAUGCUGUUCAAGCUUUGUUUUGUUGAACAAUCAGAUACCCAAGUCUUUUGCCUUGUGGAAGAUGAGUAUAUGCAGUGCUUGUUAUAUGCAGGUGCAGGUCAUGUGGCCUAUCUGGGAACUCUCUAGUUAUUAUAAAUCUAAUUAUGUCAGAGAAUGUGCAAUCUACUUCCAGUCUUCUCCAUUCCUAGCUGCUUUCUUAAAAUCCUUAACAUAAGUUCAGUGGGGUUUGCUAUAAAUAUAGCUCAUGUGAUACAUGAUUAAUGCAUCAAUUACAUUGUGAUUACAAAGUAUUAAUUGCUUCUUUUUUUUUUUUAAGAAAUAUCUUUUUAAAAAGAAGACUGGGGGGAAAAACAAAAAAUGGAGAAAAAGAAAGCAUCAUCAGCUGUUUAAAAUCAAAUAAAAAGGUGUUUACUACCUAAUCAUAUUUAUAACACUUUGAAACUAUUUUCUUCAACUUAUAUUCAAGUGAUUUUACAGCAAAAACAGUGUAAUGCAACAGAAGAUAUUUCAGAAAUGCAAGACCAAAAGAAUUCAAAAGGCCAAAUAAUCCAGCAUAGUUUAAUCACUGCUAGGGCUGUAUUUUAUUCAAAAUAAAUAUGGUUGGAAAGAACAUUGACUUUAGCUUCAGAAAAUAGCUCUAUUUCUAUUUAUUUGAAAAUCAACUUACCGAAGAUUCACUAUCACGAAUGAGGAAAUCACCUUCAUGCCCUCUUUCAUUUAAUGCCAUUUCUGCUUGAUGCCUGGUGACUUUCCCAUAAUACCAUGGAUUGCCAGCAAACUUUCCAGUGAGUGAAGGCCUAAUGUAAUCACACUGAGGAGGUGAUGGUUCCAAACCUGAGGUUAAUGGAUUGUUCUGCAUAAUGGUAACAUAGUUUUUUGGCACCAGACCAACCAUUCCAUUGAUCUUCCUGCAUUUCCACCAUUCAGGGUCAUUUUCAGGCUUUUCAAUAACAUCCAUUACAUCUCCUUUCUCAAAAUUAAGUUCUUCAUCAUUGGACGAACUGAAUGGGUAAAGAGCCUGUACCACAUGCAACACUUGGCCAGUAUUUAGGUUAUUGACAACUGCUGCUAAUUUUUCUGACAGAGAACCCACAUGGUCACCCAAAGGACUGUCACCUUCCUCAGUUACAUAGUUUGAAGGGAACCAUCCAACUUGUCCAUUGUAGCUACCUCGCCACCACCCAUCACUGCAUUUCUCCAUGACGAUCACCUUUGUCCCUUUUAUCAAUGACAAUUCAUCCUCUCUCUCUGCCAUGUAGUUAAAUUUUACAUAAGCAGGCAUGUUGAGAUCAUACAGACGUUCCCCUGGGUCAACAAAGCUAUCAUCAGCAGGUGAUGCAGAAUCUGGCACACUGUGUUUUCUUUUCACUUUUCCAAUGCCUGUUCACAUAAAAAGAGUAAU